rnacentral:rRNA from 1 species
UAAGCAUAUCAAUAAGCGGAGGAAAAGAAACCAACAGGGAUUGCCCUAGUAACGGCGAGUGAAGCGGCAACAGCUCAAAUUUGAAAUCUGGCCCUUUUAGGGUCCGAGUUGUAAUUUGCAGAGGGCGCUUUGGCGUUGGCAGCGGUCCAAGUUCUUUGGAACAGGACGUCACAGAGGGUGAGAAUCCCGUACGUGGUCGCUAUCCUUCGCCGUGUAAAGCCCCUUCGACGAGUCGAGUUGUUUGGGAAUGCAGCUCUAAAUGGGAGGUAAAUUUCUUCUAAAGCUAAAUACUGGCCAGAGACCGAUAGCGCACAAGUAGAGUGAUCGAAAGAUGAAAAGCACUUUGGAAAGAGAGUCAAAUAGCACGUGAAAUUGUUGAAAGGGAAGCGCUUGCAGCCAGACUUGCCUGUAGUUGCUUAUCCGGGCUUCUGCCCGGUGCACUCUUCUAUAGGCAGGCCAGCAUCAGUUUGGGCGGCUAGAUAAAGGUCUCUGUCACGUACCCCUCUUCGGGGGGGCCUUAUAGGGGAGACGACAUGUAGCCAGCCCAGACUGAGGUCCGCGCAUCUGCUAGGAUGCUGGCGUAAUGGCUGUAAGCGGCCCGUCUUGAAACACGGACCAAGGAGUCUAACAUCUAUGCGAGUGUUUGGGUGUCAAGCCCAGACGCGUAAUGAAAGUGAACGGAGGUAGGAACCCUUUGGGUGCACUAUCGACCGAUCCUGAUGUCUUCGGAAGGAUUUGAGUAAGAGCAUGGCUGUUGGGACCCGAAAGAUGGUGAACUAUGCUUGAAUAGGGUGAAGCCAGAGGAAACUCUGGUGGAGGCUCGCAGCGGUUCUGACGUGCAAAUCGAUCGUCAAAUUUGGGCAUAGGGGCGAAAGACUAAUC